AUUGAACGCUGGCGGAAUGCUUUACACAUGCAAGUCGAACGGCAGCACGGACUUCGGUCUGGUGGCGAGUGGCGAACGGGUGAGUAAUGUAUCGGAACGUGCCCAGUCGUGGGGGAUAACGUAGUGAAAAUUACGCUAAUACCGCAUACGAUCUAUGGAUGAAAGCGGGGGAUCGCAAGACCUCGCGCGAUUGGAGCGGCCGAUAUCAGAUUAGGUAGUUGGUGGGGUAAAGGCCCACCAAGCCAACGAUCUGUAGCUGGUCUGAGAGGACGACCAGCCCAACAGGAACUGAGAGACGGUCCAGACUCCUACGGGAGGCAGCAGUGGGGAAUUUUGGACAAUGGGGGAGAGCCUGAUCCAGCCAUUCCGCGUGCAGGAUGAAGGCCCUCGGGUUGUAAACUGCUUUUGUACAGAACGAAAAGGUUUCUACUAAUACUAGGAGCUCAUGACGGUACUGUAAGAAUAAGCACCGGCUAACUACGUGCCAGCCGCCGCCGUAA
rnacentral:rRNA from 1 species